rnacentral:rRNA from 1 species
GUGCCAGCAGCCGCGGUAAUACGUAGGGGUCGAGCGUUGUCCGGAGUUACUGGGCGUAAAGCGCGUGCAGGUGGCUCAUUACGCCCGGCGUGAAAGCCCCCGGCUCAACCGGGGAGGGUCGUCGGGGACGGAUGGGCUUGAGGGUCGCAGGGGCUGGUGGAAUUCCCGGUGUAGUGGUGAAAUGCGUAGAGAUCGGGAGGAACACCCGUGGCGAAGGCGGCCAGCUGGGCGACACCUGACACUGAGACGCGAAGGCGUGGGGAGCGAACGGGAUUAGAUACCCCAGUAGUCC